AACGAACGCUGGCGGCAUGCCUAACACAUGCAAGUCGAACGAGACCUUCGGGUCUAGUGGCGCACGGGUGCGUAACGCGUGGGAACCUGCCCUUAGGUUCGGAAUAACUCCCCGAAAGGGGUGCUAAUACCGGAUAAUGUCUUCGGACCAAAGAUUUAUCGCCUUUGGAUGGGCCCGCGUUGGAUUAGCUAGUUGGUAGGGUAAAAGCCUACCAAGGCGACGAUCCAUAGCUGGUCUGAGAGGAUGAUCAGCCACACUGGGACUGAGACACGGCCCAGACCCCUCCGGGGGGCAGCAGUGGGGAAUAUUGGACAAGGGGCGAAAGCCUGACCCAGCAAUGCCGGGGGAGUGAUGAAGGCCUUAGGGUUGUAAAGCUCUUUUCCCCGGGAUGAUAAUGACAGUACCGGGAGAAUAAGCCCCGGCUAACCCCGU
rnacentral:rRNA from 1 species